AUUGAACGCUGGCGGCAUGCUUUACACAUGCAAGUCGAACGGUAACAGGCCGCAAGGUGCUGACGAGUGGCGAACGGGUGAGUAAUGCAUCGGAACGUGCCCAGUCGUGGGGGAUAACGCAGCGAAAGCUGCGCUAAUACCGCAUACGAUCUCUGGAUGAAAGCGGGGGACCGAAAGGCCUCGCGCGAUUGGAGCGGCCGAUGUCAGAUUAGGUAGUUGGUGGGGUAAAGGCUCACCAAGCCAACGAUAUGUAGCUGGUCUGAGAGGACGACCAGCCACACUGGGACUGAGACACGGCCCAGACUCCUACGGGAGGCAGCAUUGGGGAAUUUUGGACAAUGGGCGCAAGCCUGAUCCAGCAAUGCCGCGUGCAGGAAGAAGGCCUUCGGGUUGUAAACUGCUUUUGUACGGAACGAAACGGUCCUGGUUAAUACCUGGGGCUAAUGACGGUACCGUAAGAAUAAGCACCGGCUAACUACGUGCCAGCCGCCGCAGUAACAC
rnacentral:rRNA from 1 species